rnacentral:rRNA from 1 species
GACGAACGCUGGCGGCGUGCUUAACACAUGCAAGUCGAGCGGUAAGGCCUUUCGGGGUACACGAGCGGCGAACGGGUGAGUAACACGUGGGUGAUCUGCCCUGCACUUCGGGAUAAGCCUGGGAAACUGGGUCUAAUACCGGAUAUGACCUCCUAUCGCAUGGUGGGUGGUGGAAAGAUUUAUCGGUGCAGGAUGGGCCCGCGGCCUAUCAGCUUGUUGGUGGGGUAAUGGCCUACCAAGGCGACGACGGGUAGCCGACCUGAGAGGGUGACAGGCCACACUGGGACUGAGACACGGCACAGACUCCUACGGGAGGCAGCAGUGGGGAAUAUUGCACAAUGGGAGAAAGCCUGAUGCAGCGACGCCGCGUGAGGGAUGACGGCCUUCGGGUUGUAAACCUCUUUCAGCAGAGACGAAGCGCAAGUGACGGUACCUGCAGAAGAAGCACCGGCUCACUACGUG